GAGUGAUUUUCCAAAAAGAAGUGAUUUACAUUCACCUGGCUUUUCCUCUGGCUUGGUUGGACAUGCUUGAAACCAUGCACCCUUUAUUCCUGACAGGAAAGAAGAGUUGAUGCUCUGAAGUGGAACUGUGGAACACAGGAUGGGCGUACCCAUCACUGAGGUGUGCACCAUCACCCCACACC
rnacentral:lncRNA from 1 species